UGUCAAUCUAUCUAUUGACAUGGUAAAAUCCCUCCCGGACUUCGACGGGAAACAAGGGUCUCUUGGCGCCAAGCUGCGCUGGCGGCCUACGAAUUUUUCGAGCCUUAUGAGGGCAGCGCUAAGCAUUACAUGGCAACAGGUAUCAUAAGAAAUAAAGUGAGAGGGGCCGCGGACAAUGUUUUAUCAUCUUUUAACACGGUCCUGAAUGUCAGGGCCAUCAUUCACAGGCUAGAUAGCUCAUACUGCGACAAAACGCCGGUGAGCAUAAUACAGCAGAAGUUAGCAACCAUGAGGCAGGGAAACCUUGACCUAACAGAGUAAUAUGACGAGAUUGAGAAACAGCUCUCUCUUAUUACGAAUAAAAACAUUAUGGUUCACACGGCAGUUGCGGCGAGCGUCUUAAAUAACAAAGCCAGGGAGGAUGCCUUAGAGAUAUUUAUUUCAGGCCUGAGAAGGGCUCUUAAAACGCCGGUUUUUUUCCGCAAGACCAAAGGAUCUGCCAACCGCUCUGGCCCUCGCCCAGUCAGCAGAAUCCAGCGAGGAGCGCUGCGUUCUAGCUGAAAACUAUUCCAGGGCUUUGGAAGAGAAAUCGCAUAGGCGGGAUGAGCGCAGACCUCAGGGUACACAACAAGGAAAUGCCAGACAGUAUAGGGUCCAGGACCAAAAUUUCUUCCAAGAACCCUCAUUAUAUCAAGAGUCCGGGCACGUGUAGUUCCCAGCAAAGUGGUUCUAACCAACGCAAAGCACAGAGCCCGGCACCUGAACCCAUGGACGUGGACCUUCCUCGUCAAAGUUCAGACAAACAAAGGCCUACCAAAAGCCAUUGGGGUCGGGGAGGCGAAAUAACAAUUUCCCAAAAAAAACAAGACGCGUCAAUGCGCACCGCUGGGAAUUGGAGGCAAAGAGUGGAACAUAUUGCCACGGGUAACCAACAAGACCAGGGUAGUUACAGUGAGGCCGCUGCAGGGGCAGUCGCCGAAAUAGAUGCGGGUGAGGAGAUCCAUUACGAGAGUGACUCGAUCAAUUUUUUAGGGGAAGGUCCCUGCUGCCUUUCCUUUGGCGGAGAGUAGCGGG
rnacentral:lncRNA from 1 species